UACAGUAUUUUUCUUUUUUAUAUAUUUUAUCAUUUUAUACAAUUUUGCAGGAAGUAAAAGUGAAUAAUGUCAAUUUCCAGAUAAAUAAUAAAGGAAAAGUGGAUGUUUCUGCCUCCUGAUUCUGGGACUAACAGCUAAGCUUAUUUCCUGGUUAGUCCCUAUACAAGGUCACAGUCUGGUGCUCACCAAAGGAGAUGAGCUUCCUCAUCUGCGUUUUGAGUGCAAGCACAUGCUGAAAGUGGGAGGAGGGUUUUGCUGAGAUGACAGAAGCAUAUGUGCAGAUAAUGUCUAUUCUUGCAUCUAGCUCUCUUCUGCAAAAUACCAGUGAUCAAGAAGAUGCUGGAGCUUGCAUUGUAGAUUGUUACAUUUAUGGAAUUGAGAACAAGGAUAAAAAUGUAAGUAAAAUGAUAAAAAAAGUCAAGAAGGGGAGAGAGCAAAGACCUGCUUGCGAGCCUUUACCUUGAAGACAUGGCCAUGCAUGCCAGAGGGGUGAAAGGAAUCCCUUUGAGAAGGCAGGAUGGCAAGAAGCCCUCUUCAACCUCUGGAUGUUCAGCACACAAAUCCCUGAGAAGGCCAGGAUUUCUUGAGAAUAUUUUCUUCCAUUAAUUUUUACAGCAAAUAAAGUAGUUGAAGAACGUGGAAAUACUUGGUAG
rnacentral:lncRNA from 1 species